rnacentral:rRNA from 1 species
GUGAACGCUGGCGGUAGGCCUAACACAUGCCAGUCGAACGGCAGCACCGUAAGAGCUUGCUCUUACGGGUGGCGAGUGGCGGACGGGUGAGGAAUACAUCGGAAUCUACUUUUUCGUGGGGGAUAACGUAGGGAAACUUACGCUAAUACCGCAUACGACCUACGGGUGAAAGCAGGGGAUCUUCGGACCUUGCGCGAUUGAAUGAGCCGAUGUCGGAUUAGCUAGUUGGCGGGGUAAAGGCCCACCAAGGCGACGAUCCGUAGCUGGUCUGAGAGGAUGAUCAGCCACACUGGAACUGAGACACGGUCCAGACUCCUACGGGAGGCAGCAGUAGGGAAUAUUGGACAAUGGGCGCAAGCCUGAUCCAGCCAUACCGCGUGGGUGAAGAAGGCCUUCGGGUUGUAAAGCCCUUUUGUUGGGAAAGAAAAGCAGCAGGUUAAUACCCCGCUGUUCUGACGGUACCCAAAGAAUAAGCACCGGCUAACUUCGUG